AUGGCGGAAGGUGCAACGUCUCUGAAAGGGUUGCGGGCGCAAAUGGCUGCAGCUGCGCAGGCGCAGGCAGAGGAACGGCGUAACCAGGCAGGGAACAGCCCAACACCAGCAGCUCCAGCCAGCACAGUGAAGAGCCAAACCAGGCCAGUCAUUGAUGGGGCAGCCUUGAGGAUAGACGACAAACUCAGAGUGGCCAAAGAAAGGAGAGAAGAGCAAGAAAAGCAACAUGCGUCCCGUGAGACUCAGCUCCUGGAGCGAGAGCGUAAGACCCGGCUGCAGGUGGAGAGACAGAUGGAGGAGAGACAGAAGAAGCUGGAAGAGCAGCGCAGGAAGGAGGAACAGAGAAGAGCUGCAGUGGAGGAGAAAAGGAAACAGAAAUUAGAGGAAGAAAAGGUGCACUAUGAGGCCGUGAUGAGACGUACCCUGGAGCGGAGCCAGCGAGUAGAGCAGAGGCAGAAGAGAUGGUCCUGGGGUGGACUUUCAGACUCUGACAACAAAAAUGGACAGAUUGACAGUGGCCCUGCCUCCUCCCCGAUUGCUAUAGUAAUCUCCCCUGCUUCUCCAGCCACCAAGCAACCAAGGAAUCAGACGUCACAAAGUGACAAGCGCUCUUCCUCUACUACAAACCUGAAACAGACUGACUCAGUCAUCAGCAAACGUCUCUCCUCAUCCUCAGCCACCCUCCUUAAUUCUCCUGAUAAACGUGCAAAGAAGAGAAGUUUGUCUUUGAACCGGUUGCCUAGCAAUGUUCCUCAGGCCUCUAAAGAAGUGCAUAAGCAGCCUCAGGUGGAAAAGACAGGCCCAAUCCUGAAGAAGCGCAGCUCCUCCCUCUCUCGAGUAGGGGCUAAAACACAGCCCGUCACCAAACCAGAGAAAUCCACAGCAGAUGAAUCAGCUCGCCGCAUGUUGGCUGCCCCCGUGGAUAGCAGUGUCCUCAGUCGGCUGCUCACACCCACCCAGGCCUCGCUAGCUAGAAGCAAGAGUGCUGCGGCCCUGUCCGCCGAAGGAGGCGACACCCAAGAGUCUCACCUGUGUCCUCGUUCAGCAUCUGCCAGCCCCAUGCAGCCCCCAGCCCAUGGACCCCUACGCAGUCGCAGCAGCGAUCGAAAAAAAGGCCCACCUGCUUCUGUGUCUGCAGAUGGCAUUUCCAGUAUGAUGCAGCAGAAAGCUGAGAAGGAGAAACGCUUCACGUCACCAGUAGGAAAACGCCCUGCCUCGCCCUCUAGUCGUCAUCGAUCCCCUUCUCCUUCUCCCGCUGCUAACACCACUACAAGAGCGCCCUCACCUGGAGCAGCCAAGCAGAGUCCAUCCUUCCGUACUCCUUCUCCCAGUGGUUCGAAACAGCGGCCUCCAUCCCCUCAGCCCUCUGCCACAUCCAAACCUCCACCCAUCCAGAAACCUGCUCUCACCCCCACCGGCCCGCCCACCCUUCGCAAGAGGGACUCCAAGCCAAAGGAUAUGUCUCCCAUGAUGCCUGUCACCCCACAGUCUCCAGAAACCAGCAUGCCCAGCCCGGCACCCGCACCCAAAACCAAAGAGGAAUCCAGUUCCAAAGCAGGAAUCGCAGGAACUAACUCGGCUGCAGAGGCUUCGAAGAUCCUGGCGGAGAACCGGCGUCUGGCACGCGAGCAGAAAGAGAAAGAAGAGCAACUCCGCAUACAGAAAGAAGAAGAGGAGAAGCUGAGGAAAGAGGAGGAGAAGCGGCUGGCAGAGGAGGAGCGCUUGAGACGUGCAGAGGAGGAGAAGAGGCUUGCGGAGGAGAGGAAGAGAGAAGAGGAGGUGCAGGCUCGUAUAGCAGAGGAGGAGAGACAGCGAAUGGAGCUGGAGGAGGAGCAAAGACAGGCUGAGCUAGAGAAAGAGGUGAAGGCAGCGUCAAGAGAGAGAACGCAUUAUGCAACAGAACCAACAGGAAGAAUUGAAGAAAUUAUGAAGAGAACCAGAAAAACAGACCAAAUCGAUUUUAAGAGUAAUGAUGAGAGGGACAUUCCGUAUGAAGACGGAGAGGAGGCUGAGGACCAAAUAUACUGUGAAAAUAAGGAGUAUCAGGCUGUCGAGUCAGAGCAGAAUGCCAUGAAGACAGAGCCAUCAGACUCUCAGGAGCGUCACUUACCUGAGGAGGAGCCAGUCAGUGAGCAAGAGGGGCCAGUUGAUAGUAUGAACACACAAACAGAUGUGGACAAUAAAGAGAACAGCAAUGGACCCGGUACGGAAGAUUUCUCAGUGGACAGCCCCCCUCCCAAGUCCUGUCUGAUGGAGGGCUCGGAGUUUGUGAACGAGGACUCUAAAGUGAACCUGGUGCCAGGGUUGAAUGGUAAAGGAGGACCCUGGAGCUUUGAGGAGCUGAUCGAUCUGGGUGUUCAUGCGAAGAGCAAACCCCUGAUGGAUGAUGGGGGCCCUGAGGGGCCUAGAGUGGCAUUUGAAGAGAAAACCAGCUCCAUUCAUCCAGCCCAGCCUAUUGAAGCUCUGUCCGGUAUGGGCUUUUCAUUCUAUUAA
ensembl:lncRNA